rnacentral:rRNA from 1 species
GCUGGCGGCACGCCUUAUACAUGCAAGUCGAACGGAGUAGCAAUACUUAGUGGCAGACGGGUGAGUAACAUGUAGGUAUCUUCCCUUUGGUGAGGAAUAACACGAGGAAACUUGUGCUAAUACCUCAUAAGUCUUUACAGAGAAAGCUUUAUGCGCCAUUGGAUGAGCCUGCACUUGAUUAGUUUGUUGGUGGGGUAAUGGCCUACCAAGACUUUGAUCAAUAGCUGAUUUGAGAGGAUGAUCAGCCACAUUGGGACUGAGACACGGCCCAAACUCCUACGGGAGGCAGCAGUAGGGAAUCUUGCACAAUGGAGGAAACUCUGAUGCAGCGAUGCCGCGUGAGUGAAGAAGGCCCUUGGGUUGUAAAGCUCUUUCGUCGGGGAAGAAAAUGACUGUACCCGAAUAAGAAGGUCCGGCUAACUUCGUGCCAGCAGCCGCGGUAAUACGAAGGGACCUAGCGUAGUUCGGAAUUACUGGGCUUAAAGAGUUCGUAGGUGGUUAAAAAAGUUGGUGGUGAAAUCCCAGAGCUUAACUCUGGAACUGCCAUCAAAACUUUUUAGCUAGAGUAUGAUAGAGGAAAGCAGAAUUUCUAGUGUAGAGGUGAAAUUCGUAGAUAUUAGAAAGAAUACCAAUUGCGAAGGCAGCUUUCUGGAUCAUUACUGACACUGAGGAACGAAAGCAUGGGUAGCGAAGAGGAUUAGAUACCCUCGUAGUCCAUGCCGUAAACGAUGUGUGUUAGACGUUGGAAAUUUAUUUUCAGUGUCGCAGCGAAAGCAAUAAACACACCGCCUGGGGAGUACGACCG